rnacentral:rRNA from 1 species
AACGAACGCUUGCGGCGCGCCUAAUACAUGCAAGUCGAACGAACCAGCAAUGGUGAGUGGCGCACGGGUGAGUAACGCGUGGGUAAUCUGCCCUCUACUGGGGAAUAACUAACCGAAAGGUUAGCUAAUACCGCAUGAGACCACAGCUCCUGAGGGAGCAGAGGUUAAAGAUUUAUCGGUAGGGAGUGAGCCGCGUGGGAGUUAGCUAGUUGGUGGGGUAACGGCCGUACCAAGGCUACGAUCUCUAACAGGUCUGAGAGGAUGACCUGUCA